UACGAAGGGGGCUAGCGUUGCUCGGAUUGACUGGGCGUAAAGGGCGCGUAGGCGGUCUCGUAAGUCCUGUGUGAAAUCCCCCGGCUCAACUGGGGAACUGCACAGGAAACUGCGGGACUUGAGUUCGGGAGAGGGAAGCGGAAUUCCGGGUGUAGCGGUGAAAUGCGUAGAUAUCCGGAGGAACACCGGUGGCGAAGGCGGCUUCCUGGACCGACACUGACGCUGAGGCGCGAAAGCUAGGGGAGCAAACGGG
rnacentral:rRNA from 1 species